rnacentral:pre_miRNA from 1 species
UCCUUCAUUCCACCGGAGUCUGUAUCCGUACCUAACCAGAUUUCAGUGGUGUGAAGUGUA